CCAGUACCAUCCGUACGGAAAGCACGUUGUUUAUUUCAAAUCGUUUUCUAAAAUCGUUUUUUAUUUUUUAUUUCCUCCCUCAAACCUUAUACCUUCGACUUCCUCGCAAAUUAUAUUUUAAUUUGAAUUUUAUAAUUUUGUUUUAUUUUUCAAUUUUUUUUGCCAUUAAAGUGUGGUGCCGUCGACGACAGAUAUUUAGAGUUUUCCGAGAGUCUGGCCAUCAUUUUAUGAUGUUCUAAGUCGAAGUCGCUUCCAAGUCGCCCGAGCUUGUGGGCGGAUCGCGAUCGACUUAUACACCGAUGGUUGGAAGUACAUCUGAGGAACACUGAUACGAGAAAUUGAAAAGAACGCCUUUCAUUGCUUCUUCAACGACUUUGUAUAGUUAUAAUAAUCUGUGACAAGGAAACUCACGGUACUCCGAUCCACAAAAGCUAUAUCAUUUCCUGGGUUUUCAUUUGUGUGCUCACAUUGAGAACGCCGGAACAUGCAAACCUCAGGAGAACAUAUUCAAGUACUUAGUGGUUUUAAGAUCUGCUUGUAGAUGGCGCUGUUAGGAUAUAUUUAAAAGUUUAGGUUUUUAUGUAAUUUAAUCGUCUGAAUUAGGGAAAUUCCAGUUUCUUAAUGUCUCUCGGGUACUUUAAUAUUAUUAUUACUGAUGUUAGACUUAAUUGAAAUAUUUAUAUUUUUUUAUAUUAUGUAGGUCAGAAGGUCAGUGUGUCAGACUUUCUAACUAAUUUAAAAAAUGAAAUCAAUGUUUUAUUACGUACCAACAUGUAAUUUUUCUCUAAAUCAUGGGAUUCGUUUCUUCUGGAAGAUUUAAAGAAGAGAAGAUAAUGUACAGUUACGUACCCUUGUCAUUCUUCUUGCCCGGUGUUUUUAUACAACUGGACGGAGAACUGAUAAGGGCAUGUUCUGUUACAGAGCAUCACAGAGAAGAAUGAAGAAUUUUUAGAAGUUUGUUCUUUGUGGGUAGUUUUAAUAGUUUGUAUAUUUUCUCUAUUGGAAUUAAAAAUAAAAUAAUUA